GGCAGUGAAGCGUUUUAAUAUGGCGUAGAAAAUGUUAAUUUCUCUGAGAUAGGGCCGGCCUAUCCCCUGCCAC
rnacentral:tRNA from 1 species